UACAGAGGUCUCAAGCGUUGUUCGGAUUCAUUGGGCGUAAAGGGUGCGUAGGUGGCGUCGUAAGUCGGGUGUGAAAUUUCGGAGCUUAACUCCGAAACUGCAUUCGAUACUGCGGUGCUUGAGGACUGGAGAGGAGACUGGAAUUUACGGUGUAGCAGUGAAAUGCGUAGAUAUCGUAAGGAAGACCAGUGGCGAAGGCGGGUCUCUGGACAGUUCCUGACGCUGAGGCACGAAGGUCAGGGGGAGCAAACGGGG
rnacentral:rRNA from 1 species